rnacentral:rRNA from 1 species
GACGAAUGCUGGCUGCGUGCUUAACACAUGCAAGUCGAACGGUGAAGGAGGGCUUGCCCUCCGGAUCAGUGGCGAACGGGUGAGUAACACGUGGGCAACCUGCCCCUCACUCUGGGAUAACGCCGGGAAACCGGCGCUAAUACCGGAUACGACCAGGCGCGACAUCUCGCCUGGUGGAAAGAAUUUCGGUGAGGGAUGGGCCCGCGGCCUAUCAGCUUGUUGGUGGGGUAACGGCCCACCAAGGCGACGACGGGUAGCCGGCCUGGGAGGGCGACCGGCCACACUGGGACUGAGACACGGCCCAGACUCCUACGGGAGGCAGCAUUGGGGAAUAUUGCGCAAUGGGCGAAAGCCUGACGCAGCGACGCAGCGUGAGGGACGAAGGCCUUCGGGUUGUAAACCUCUUUCAGCGGGGACGAAGCGAAAGUGACGGUACCCGCAGAAGAAGCACCGGCUAACUACGUGCCAGCCGCCGUAACAC